GACCGCUCCGGUGGCCUAGUGGUUGGAGCGUCCGCCGUGAAUGCAGGAAGUCGUUAGUUCGAACCUCAACCGAGUCA